AAUGAACGCUGGCGGCAGGCCUAACACAUGCAAGUCGAACGAGUGGCGGACGGGUGAGUAAUGUCUGGGGAACUGCCUGAUGGAGGGGGAUAACUACUGGAAACGGUAGCUAAUACCGCAUACCAUCGGAUGUACCCAUAUGGGAUUAGCUAGUAGGUAAGGGAAAGGCUCACCUAGGCGACGAUCCCUAGCUGGUCUGAGAGGAUGACCAGCCACACUGGGACUGAGACACAGUCCAGACUCCUACGGGAGGCAGCAUUGGGGAAGAUUGCACAAAGGGCGCAAGCCGGAUGCAGCCAUGCCGCGUGUAUGAAGAAGGCCUUCGGGUUGUAAAGUACUUUCAGUGGGGAGGCGUUACCCACAGAAGAAGCACCGGCUAACUCCGUGCCAGCAGCCGCGGUAAGAC
rnacentral:rRNA from 1 species